GAGACCAAGGCUCCAUUAGCUAAAGGCUAUGGUGCCAAUAUUGUUACCAUGAUGACAUCUUAUGCCAUCAAUUUAUAACAAAAUUACUUGACCAGAAGAUCCUACCUAGUACCUUUAAAAAUGGUGACUAACUCAGCUUUUUGCAAUGAUUGGUUAUUUGAAAUUCUUCCAAUCUAUCAAUUCUCAUAUUGCACAUAUCAUGAUGUAGACUCUCUACCAUCAGUGCCUUACUCA
rnacentral:lncRNA from 1 species